AAAAAUGCUUGCUGGAUAUUUGGCAUUUGAACAAAGAUCCCAAAAAGUGAGGGAGCCAUGUGCCUUUCUGAGGGGAGAUGGACAAAGGCAGCGGAAACAGCUUAGUGAAGGCCCAGAGACACAUUUGGAAUCCAGCCAACAGCCUCUAAGGAAACUCCAAAAGCCCCAUGGAGAAGAUAUAUAAGUAUUGUGAUGGACAGGUGAGGUCCAGCCAUCAGACAAGGCCAGCUGUCAGACAUGCAAGAGCAGUGAGUUUUCAGGUGACUAUAGCCCUCCACUGUUGUUAUCCCAGCUUCUAAGCCACUCUGCUUGAUGCCAUAUGGGACGGGCAAGCUAUUCCUAUUGAGCCCUGUGCAAAUUACAAAUUUGUGAGAAAAAUAAAACAUGUUUUCCAUUUUACAAUGCUAAGUUUUGAGAUGG
ensembl:lncRNA